rnacentral:tRNA from 9 species
UCCGCCAUAGCUCAGUUGGUAGUAGCACAUGACUGUUAAUCAUGAUGUCGUAGGUUCGAGUCCUACUGGCGGAG